GUGUGUGUAUUUUACUCUGUAUCCAGAGUAAGGUGUACUGACUUGGCGAGAGUGGGUUGGAAGCCAUCUUUCUUUUGCUGGCCGUUUUGUUUACAAACAUUACCGUGCAGCAGAAAAAAGCAAAAUAAAUUUCGUCCGCAACCAGGUAAAAGUGCAGUGAGAAGAAAUCCAAAUACAUAAUGCGUUGGUACUGUGCGGUCAGCGGAUGUACAAAUAAAAAAUCAUCGACCAAGGAAAAUCCUGGCAUCACAUACCACAGAUUUCCAGCGGAUGAAGCAAGAAGAGCGAAAUGGGUGAGUUUUUGCGGACGUGGGGAAACGUGGACCCCUGUACCUAGUCAAGGAAUUUGUUCCAGGCACUUUCAUGGAACUAGUUACGAUUCGAACGUGAAACAUCGUCGGCAGCUCAUUUCAAACGCGAUUCCAGAGCUUAAUCCACGAUCCGAUCUCGGUCAACAACAGCAUCAGCACAGUUCAGUUUCACAGCAUAUGAUUUCAAAAGGACACAUGUUUAUGGAUAACUUCCAGAUCCUGAGCGAAAUUCCUUCUUUUGAUGAAAAUCUUAGAUUUUUGGACGAAACGAAUGUUGCCGACGACUCAGCUCUCGGUUCCGAAAAUAGCUUGGAGACGUCGCUUAUUUGUUAUCCGGUGGCCUCAGAUCCAGUGAAUUCGUCUGUAGAAUCCGACCACAAUUACCCCACUUCAUCGGUGACCGUUUGUGGUACGUAUUUGAUCCAUAUGGAUUUCUGUUGGUGGUGGCUUAUUGUA